GACCUGAUAGCAUAAUUGGCUAGUGCACUUGCUCAUAUUGGUCUGAGGAAAAGGACUCAGUAGCAGAUCCCCGUUCGAUUCGGGGUCAGGCCA